GACAGAGGUGGCGAGCGUUGUUCGGAUUUACUGGGCGUAAAGCGUGGGUAGGCGGUUCGGCAAGUCAGAUGUGAAAUCCCACCGCUUAACGGUGGAACGGCGUCUGAUACUGCCGAACUUGAGUGCAGGAGAGGAGGGUGGAAUUUCCGGUGUAGCGGUGAAAUGCGUAGAGAUCGGAAGGAACACCAGUGGCGAAGGCGGCCCUCUGGACUGCAACUGACGCUGAGACACGAAAGCGUGGGGAGCAAACAGG
rnacentral:rRNA from 1 species